rnacentral:rRNA from 1 species
GAUGAACGCUGGCGGCGUGCCUAAUACAUGCAAGUCGAGCGAACAGAUGAGGAGCUUGCUCCUCUGACGUUAGCGGCGGACGGGUGAGUAACACGUGGAUAACCUACCUAUAAGACUGGGAUAACUUCGGGAAACCGGAGCUAAUACCGGAUAAUAUAUUGAACCGCAUGGUUCAAUAGUGAAAGACGGUUUUGCUGUCACUUAUAGAUGGAUCCACGCCGCAUUAGCUAGUUGGUAAGGUAACGGCUUACCAAGGCAACGAUGCGUAGCCGACCUGAGAGGGUGAUCGGCCACACUGGAACUGAGACACGGUCCAGACUCCUACGGGAGGCAGCAGUAGGGAAUCUUCCGCAAUGGGCGAAAGCCUGACGGAGCAACGCCGCGUGAGUGAUGAAGGUCUUCGGAUCGUAAAACUCUGUUAUUAGGGAAGAACAAAUGUGUAAGUAACUAUGCACGUCUUGACGGUACCUAAUCAGAAAGCCACGGCUAACUACGUG